rnacentral:lncRNA from 1 species
UCCCUAUGUUGCUUUGUUCAUGUUUUUGUCACUUUUGAAUAAUAUAUAUAAAAUAUUGAGGGACCUUGUUAAUAAAGACUGAGUCACUGCCUCUGAUAUGCAAGAGCGUCAACAUAAGAUCCAAGGUUACAGAGCCAGACCACAUGAGCCACAACCUCGGCAUGAACCUUAACCUAAGGUUUAAAAGUAUGAGGUGCAUGAGCUAGAGG